rnacentral:rRNA from 1 species
GCGCAGCAGUCGCGAAUACUUUACAAUGUGCGAAAGCACGAUAAGGGAACUCUGAGUGCCUCCUAAGGAGGCUGUUCAGGUGUCUAAAAGCACCUGAAGGAAGGGCUGGGUAAGACCGGUGCCAGCCGCCGCGGUAACACCGGCAGCCCAAGUGGUAGCCACGUUUAUUGGGUCUAAAGCGUCCGUAGCCGGCUGGGUAAGUUCCUUGGGAAAUUUGGCUGCUUAACAGUCAAGCUUUCAGGGAAUACUGCCCGGCUUGGGGACCGGGAGAGGUCAGAGGUACUCCAGGGGUAGGGGUGAAAUCCAUUAAUCCUUGGGGGACCACCGGUAGCGAAGGCGUCUGACCAGACCGGGUCCGACGGUGAGGGACGAAGGCUAGGGGCGCGAACCGGAUUAGAUACCCGUGUAGU